UCCCUUGUGGCUCAGAUGGUAAAGCUUCUGCCUGCAAUGCAGGAGACCCAAGUUCGAUUCCUGGAUUGGGAU
rnacentral:tRNA from 1 species